AUUGAACGCUGGCGGAAUGCUUUACACAUGCAAGUCGAACGGUAGAGGGGGCAACCCCUCGAGAGUGGCGAACGGGUGAGUAAUAUAUCGGAACGUGCCCAGUCGUGGGGGAUAACGUAGCGAAAGUUACGCUAAUACCGCAUACGAUCUAAGGAUGAAAGCGGGGGAUCGCAAGACCUCGCGCGAUUGGAGCGGCCGAUAUCAGAUUAGGUAGUUGGUGGGGUAAAGGCUCACCAAGCCAACGAUCUGUAGCUGGUCUGAGAGGACGACCAGACACACUGGAGCUGAGACACGGUCAAGAAUCCUACGGGAGGCAGCAGUGGGGAAUUUUGGACAAUGGACGCAAGUCUGAUCCAGCCAUUCCGCGUGCAGGAUGAAGGCCCUCGGGUUGUAAACUGCUUUUGUACGGAACGAAAAGGUCUCUCUUAAUACGGGGGACUCAUGACGGUACCGUAAGAAUAAGCACCGGCUAACUACGUGCCAGCAGCCGCGGUAA
rnacentral:rRNA from 1 species